rnacentral:rRNA from 1 species
UACAGAGGUCUCAGGCGUUGUUCGGAUUCAUUGGGCGUAAAGGGUGCGUAGGCGGCCAGGUAGGUCUGCUGUGAAAACUCGAGGCUCAACCUCGAGAUGUCGGCGGAAACCAUCUGGCUAGAGUCCGGAAGAGGAGAAUGGAAUUCCCGGUGUAGCGGUGAAAUGCGCAGAUAUCGGGAAGAACACCCGUGGCGAAGGCGGUUCUCUGGGACGGUACUGACGCUGAGACGCGAAAGCGUGGGGAGCGAACAGG